rnacentral:rRNA from 1 species
UACAGAGGUCUCAAGCGUUGUUCGGAUUCAUUGGGCGUAAAGGGUGCGUAGGCGGCGCGGUAAGUCGGGUGUGAAAUCUCGGGGCUUAACUCCGAAACUGCAUUCGAUACUGGCGAUCUUGAGUCCGGGAGAGGUGAGUGGAACUCCGAGUGUAGAGGUGAAAUUCGUAGAUAUUCGCAAGAACAUCAGUGGCGAAGGCGGCCUGCUGGGCUGUGCUGACGCUGAGGCGCGACAGCGUGGGGAGCAAACAGGAUU